rnacentral:lncRNA from 1 species
GCUCUCUCCUCGCCUGCCUCGUGGCUGGACACCGCAUUUCCGCUCUGUGUAUCAGCACAUGAUACGUGGCCUUGACGUUUUCCAUCCCAGACAAUCCUAUGCAGCAACUAGUUGAAAACAAAGCGAAGCUCUAGGGAGCUUGAAGAAACAUCUCUGCUCUCCAGUUGUUCACUGCGAGUUAAUGACAGAGAUUCGUGGCUUUGAGAAACUGAUAAGUUAUUUCUCCACUGGUGAAGUAAGCCAAUUCAAGCCAGAUUAGUAUAUAUAUAGGUUUAUCGGGAAGCUGCUUUUGUGCCGAUGAGUUCACUGGCCCUAGGAAGGAGGCCAGGGAAGUCGCCAUGAGAAGGGAGACAGAGGGGAGGGAGAAGAGAAAGAGAGAAGGAAAAGGAAGAAGAGGAAGAGAGAAAACCAACCAAACAAAAAAAAGUCUGGGUUAUAUAGUAAAGAGCCUGUGGGCUGGAAAGUUCAGGGUUGGGGGUAGGGUAUGCUAGGUAGGGACUGAGAGAUGCUUGGAGAACCUGGAGGCCAGGUCUGCUUGGUGUGUAAAAUAUACACCUCAGCACCUUGUCCUGGGGUCUGAAACCACUGAGCUGCAUCCACUGCUAGUGAGGGGGUAAAGGCCUUACUGGUUAUGGCUCAGAGGUGGCAGUAAUUAAGGCUGCACUUUAUUCACACCUUGGGUAGAGGAAGCCAGUGUCUCGGGUAGCUUGUACUUUAGAAAUGGGAUUUGGACCAGGAAACAAAAAGAGGUUUGAGACUAUGGCCAUACUGUUCUGAAUGCAGCUUGAUUUCUGAAGCUAAGCAAGGUCUGGCCUGUGCAAAACGGGGUUUGACUAUGGAAGUGUGGCCACUGUAACUGCCUAGAGUGAUGUGCAUGGGCUUAUAGGCCCCUCUUGGACUAGAGAAGGGUAUUCAAGUUCAACUGUGAGUGAUCUAGGUAGAAAUAAUUUGGACAAGUAUGAUAGCCCAUUCGAAUCUCAUUGUGGCUUCAUAUAGUUCCACACAGGAGUAUCCUGGCAAAGGUACUUGCCUGUGAGGUUGGAAUCCCUGGGUGGAAAUAUGAAACACUCCAAGGAGGAAAUUUGUGUCCUGGUUUGGUUUUUGUUAUUUUGAUAAACACCAUAACCAAAGCCAUGUGGGGAGGAAGGGGCUUAUUUUAGCUUACAGGCCAUGGACUUGCCUACUGGCACUCUCAUUUCUCAAUUGAGAUUCCCUCUUCCCAGAAGACUCUAGUUUGGGUCAAAUUGACAAGAAAUGAACCAGCACACUACGCUUUUCAGCAGUCACAGGGCCUUAGUUUCUUGUAACCAUAACAAGAGCCAAAUACAUACAUAGGGCUGGGUCUGUAAGAAGUCAAAUGAGGAAAACAGAGAAUAGACCCAGUCUGACCUCUACACAAAGCAGACUUUUAUUGCUCUGAGAGGCUGGCACACCCAAACCCUGCUGAUCAGUACCUGAGGGUACAGGAGAACGUGCCAUGUAGGAUCAGGGACUGGGAGAGCAUGGCUUUGCCAGACCCAGAAACUGCUUUUCUGGGUAAACUGCUUUUUGAAAUAAGUGUGGGGGAUGAAUCUGUUUGUUUAACCUCUGGGCAGCAGGUGAAAGAUAAGUCAGUUUGCCUUUUUUGGUUUACCUCCAGAGUUCCAGUACAUGUUAAUGGGGGUGGACUGCUUUCUGGAGAAUAUGGGUGGCAGGCAUUUUGGAGUCUUUGCCCUGUUUUAUGGCCUUGUCUAGGGGUGGGGAUUUCCUUAGUAAGGAAGGACUGUAAUCCUAGCUCCUUAGGAGGCUAUGGCAGGGGAUUGUGAAUUCAAGGCUCGACUUUGACCCUGUUUCAAAAUUUAAAAGAAAGUUUUAAGAGCUGGAGUCGUAGAUCAGGGCCAGAGUUGUUCUUUUGCAUGUAUGAUGUACUGGGUUUGAUCUCCAGCACCGCCAAAAAGGUAAUGGGAACAUGAACAAACAAGUGCAGGGGUAUAAAUCAGUGGCAAAGGACUUGACUAACAUGUUCACUUCCCUAGGUUCCAUCCUCAGGACUGCCUCCCAAUAAGAUGGCUGAGUAGUGGUGCAUGCCUGUAAUCAUAGCACUUAGGAGUCUGAGGGAGGCAGGUUGUGAACUUGAAGCUGGACUGCUACAUAAGGAAGAAACCAUGUUGAAAACAAAGACCCCACUCUACCCCCAAAUCACGUUAUACCAGAAUGGCUAAUCUUGCUCACAUUAAAAUCAUUUAAGUUGAUCUAUUACAUGAGGGGGUCCCUGCUCCCUGCAGGUUUCAAGGAACCACAAAGAGGUGAGAAUGAAAACUUGAUUCAGAUUGAUUUCAUUGACCUGGAGCAGACUUCAGAGAGUCUGAUGCCAGGCCAUAUAGUAUGGGCAUGCAUAUUUAAACACAAUAGAAUUUGAAAAAGGAUUUCUAAGAGGUAAGUCUAGAUGUACAAUAAAGCUUCAGGUGCCACUACAUAGAAGUUCCUUUGCAAAGUACAUGUGACCUUGAAGAUGGGCUCUCUAGCUUAAUGGCCUAACAUCUGGUGUGGCCUCUGAUCAAGUAGCAUAGAGGUCAGCAGACUAUAAAGUACAUGUGAUAUCUCCUCUAAGAAUGGGAGCUAAAGAUAAAGGUCUAGGGAGGGAGAGUCUGGAAGAAUCAUUCUGGGGUUUGGGUGAGGUCUGUCUCUAUAGAUAGCAGAAGAUCACCAGGUCAUUAACAAAUUCCAGUCUCAAAUUUCCUCCACUGAGGAGACACCCCUGCGUGUUUAACAUUCCUGGUUUCCCAAUGCCUCCUGUCCCCCAAACUACACAGUAUCUAGUUUAAGGAAUUUUCUUUUCAUUAGGAAGAGGAUAUGGUUGCUCAGUUUGACUCUAUAGUUCUCUCUGCAGUAUUCAGGUUUCCCACUUGCAGACACUCUGCCAUCCAUUUCCUUCAGUACUGUUUGUAUAACUCGGUUGUCUUUGGAUAACGAUUGAUUAGGCAUCAGCAAACAGAGGCUUGAGAACACAGCCUCCCUCUUGUCUUCCCCUUCUCUCCCCUGCUCCAGUUAAAAACCUACUAUGUCUAACCACAUAAAGUGCUUUUGAUUGUAUGUCUCAUUUCCAAAGGAAUAUGAAGUCUCUGAGUUGAGUCCAGAGAAGCUCAAACUCAAGUUUCCUUUAUAAAAUCCCAGAGAUUAAUGAGAGGAAAUGCUGGGGUGAGACUGCACUAACUAUUCUGCCUUUCUAAAGAAACUUGGCUUUAGGUUUAUUUUCACUGACUAUUAUCCUUCCUGGGGUUGCCCUGGUAUAAAAAUUCUUCUUUUAUUUUUUGGUAUUCUUUGGAGAUAUUAUUCAUCUCCCUCUGCCCAAAGUUUUCUUAGAGGAAACUAGUCUGGCAAAUGAUGAUAUUCUGUCACAUUGUGGUUAAAAGGUUUAUAACUGUUUAAUCCUAUGGGAACUUGCUCCCUCUUUCUGACUCUAUUCUAGGCAAGCCUCUAGUACUUUCAGCCCUAGGGCUUCGUUCUCCAUCCUGGUCUACAACUCUGGAUCUCUCAACCUUGGCUCAAAGGGCCCUACCGCUCAAAUGUUUUUCUUUGAGGACCUGAGUUCAAUCCGAAACACCGACAUUAAAAAGCCAAACUUGGUGAAUCAUAAUCUGCUCUGAGGAGGCAGAGAUAGGAGGAUUCCUUGAGUUCCAUGGAGAGCCAGUCUAUCCUAAUUGGUGAUAUCCAGGUUCAGUGAGAGACCCUGUAUCCAAAAUAAAUGUGGGAAGCAACUGAAAUAACACCUGAUAUCAAUCUUUCCUGUGUGCUCACAUGUACACACACAGUCUUUCAUAUUGCUUUCUAUUAUAUGUCUGUCUCUGCAUCUUGUCUCUUUCUCCUUCUGGUCAGGGUCCUCAGGUAGGAAGCAGCUUGCUACUGGAGGCAUGAAAAUGUGUUCUCUGAGCCAUGGCUAUGAGCAACAUACAACCAUAAAUGCUUCUGCACAUGGCUAUUGUUGAAAAGGCAAACUGAAUCAAUACUAGAUACAAUUCUCAGUCAGAGGAAUUUCCAUAUAUGCCCCCAUGUUUGUCCCCUCUGACAGUUUGUUUACCAUAACUCUUCCCAUCUCCCAACCCUUUGCCCUACUGUCCCCCCCAAGGCACUGAGUUAAAUAAAAAGGGAAGGAAAUCUUUAGGCUCUUGUUCUUAAAGACACAAGUCAUGACCUUUCUUGGACAGUACAAUCAACAUAAGAUCCUGUUCCCCUUAAAAGUGGUUGAAGAAUAAUUUGGAAUGUAAGAGGACUUUUCCAGGCAGGCAAAGCUGACUUUGUUUCCAUUGCACCCAUGUACCAGGCUACAGUAUAUAAUCCAUUUCUUGCUCUGUGUCAAAAAGAGACUCUUAACAACUUGGGAAAUAGAGGCUUGAGAGAUGGCUCAGUGGUUAACACUGAAUGCUCUUCCAGAGGACCCAGUACCCACAUGGUAGCUCACAAUUGUCUGUGACUUCAAGAUCUGACACUCUCACCCAGACAUGUAGGCAAAACACCAGUGCACAUAAAAAGAAACAAAGGAACAAGCAAAAACAU